GCUGUGCUGAGGGCUCGGUCUCAAUCCAGCAGCGUUCAGAGAUGAGCACCGAGACUCAGAAAGAUCAAGUAACUUGGCUGUGGCACUCAGUUCGGAAGUGGCAGAGAUGGAGACUGUCUCCAAACAAGGAGUGAUCAACGCCUGCUCCACAUACCCCGCCUGCCACUAGAUGUUCUCACAGCGUGGAGAACCUGUGCUUUAUCUCCACAGCCAUUGUCCUGUAAUGAACGGCUUCUUAAUCACCACAAGACCUGAGUAGGGCAUAGCCAGCUCCCAAGUUUUGCAUCACCGCCUUUGUGGGAUCAUUCAGGGAAAGCUUUUGCUAAGGUGACUCUAAAGAAGGACUGCAAUCCCAGCUGUCUUGUUAGAGCACCCCUUGUGUAUUUGACACAUUUUAAAUUUUAAAGAAU